rnacentral:rRNA from 1 species
CUGCAGCCCGAGUGGUGAUCGAUUUUAUUGAGCCUAAAGCGUCCGUAGCCGGACUAGUAAACCCUUGGGUAAAUUGGGCAGCUUAACUGUCCAAAUUCCGAGGGGACUGCUAGUCUUGGGACCGGGAGAGGUCAGAGGUACUCAAGGGGUAGGGGCUAAAUCCUGUAAUCCUUUGGGGACCACCAGUGGCGAAGGCGUCUGACUAGAACGGAUCCGACGGUAAGGGACGAAACCCUGGGGCGCGAACCGGAUUAGAGACACGAGUAGUCC